UAGGGAAUCUUCCGCAAUGGGCGAAAGCCUGACGGAGCAACGCCGCGUGAGUGAUGAAGGUCUUCGGAUCGUAAAACUCUGUUAUUAGGGAAGAACAAAUGUGUAAGUAACUAUGCACGUCUUGACGGUACCUAAUCAGAAAGCCACGGCUAACUACGUGCCAGCAGCCGCGGUAAUACGUAGGUGGCAAGCGUUAUCCGGAAUUAUUGGGCGUAAAGCGCGCGUGGGCGGUUUUUUAAGUCUGAUGUGAAAGCCCACGGCUCAACCGUCGAGGGUCCUUUGAAACCGGAAAACUUGAGUGCAGAAUAGGAGAGUGGAAUUCCAUUUGUAGCGGUGAAAUGCGCAUAGAUAUGGAAGAACACCAGUUGCGAAGGCGACUUUCUGGGCCGUAACUGACGCAGAUGUGCUAAAGCAAGGGGAUCAAAGAGG
rnacentral:rRNA from 1 species